GCGUUUUCCCUUAGUUCCUUUGAUUCCCUCCAGUUGUCUCCUCCCCCCUCCCUCUUCUCCCUCGAUCCCCACUCUUCGUGCCUCCACGCAGCAGCCACUUCACCCCGCCGUCGACCCAACGUCACCGUCCACCUCCACUAUCACCGGCCAACCCAGCCGAGCCCCUCCCUCGCGCUUUCUCUCUCUCCCGCAGAUCUCCCUCUCUCUUCUCUCUCGGAUUCUCAGUGUCGCGUCGUCCGCAGCUACCCUCCAGCUACCCCCCCAACCCCUCCACUGAAGCUCUCCCUCUCUCUCACCGUCGAUCUUCUCUCCCCCUCACGGAUCUCACUCAAGCUCCUAUACCCACUGUGCGCCGCCUUCCUCCACGGCAAAGCACCGCAGGAACUGCAACCCAUUGUAUUUCAGAAUCUAGAGAUUUCCCAAACAGAGGCUUGCGGUGCCCAAAGCUUCUAUCUUUUCCGUAGUUUGAUUCUUUCGUAAAAAAUGUAUUGUCUUUGUUUGGUUUCUGAGAAAAUUAAAUUUAAAAAAUUGGAACUCUUGCAAGAUUUUACUUUUGAUUCCUCAAGCGUUGUUUGGUAACGAAAAUAAGACAAUGAAAGACUCGGAUUUGGUUUGGAUUAAGUGUUGCAUAUAACUAAGUUUGGGUUUAAGUAAGUAAAUUUAGUUUUGUUGCUGUUGCUGUGAAUUAGAGAAUUUUGAAAUAUGGAAAUAGAAGGUUUUGUUCAUAUAUGCUUUUGGGUUGUAGUAAUAAUGGCUAAAGACAGACCCAACUGGGAGGGAUUGCUCAAAUGGAGAGGGAGCUCAAGCUUAAGUGUACGAGGGAAAGUAACGCAAAUGGAGAUGAAAGGAAGAUCGUGACAGCUUUAUAGAGAUUUUUUAUAUUCUGGCCUGCAUACUUGUUGAUGGGUAACUCUUAUUUUGAGUCCAAGUUUCACUAAAUUCGGGGUAAAGAAUUACCAAAAGCUGGAUGAAUAGGCCCUAUGAUAUGGCAGCCAUCAAAUGUAAUGGGAGGGAAGGGGAGAUAAUUGUGGAUGUGUGAAUAAGUAUUAAACUAUCUUAUUGACUGUGAGGGUGAUUAAGUGUUUUAAUAUAUAAGGUAGCCAGUUUGGAUGAUGGUUGUUAGUUUAAUUUUCUGAAUGGAGAAUCAAAAGGGAAUUUUUCGAGGGAGAGGAACUUCCACCGCUUGAACAUUCUUCGGCUUCUUCCUUACAUUCUUCCAGUUCCAACACAAUCCCAGCAUAUUCGGAAUGUCAAUCUAUUCUCUAUAAUCUUGUUCUGGUUAAAUCUACACGGUUCUUUAAAAAGCAAUGAAGUUGUUCUCUGUAAUUUGCUGUAAUUUCUUUUUUUGUUCUGAAGCUACUUCUUUGUGUAAUUAGGACCUUGAAGUGCAGUCUUUAUUAUCUGGAUGCUAGCUAUAUGGUUCUAUUUUUUCUCAAA